AUUUUUACGAGCAUAAUUAAAGAAAUAGAAUCGAAGUAAAAUAUAUUUUAUGUAUGAAUACUGAGAGUCAAUUUGCCGAAUGAAACACGUGCAGUGAGACAUCGGUCAUGCAAUAAGCAACUCACUUAACUAACUAUUGUAGUUUCGAACUCGCGCAACAGGACAUCGAAGUUUCCAAACGUUUCCCUUUCUCCCUCAUUUCCAUCUUUAUUGAACAUUUCAACCGGCUCCCCAGGACAUCGUCCAUCUCCAGCCAAUCUUCUACACAGCAGAAAGACGAGUUCACAUCGAUCUCCACCUCUGCCAAGGGGGCAUUGACACCGUUGCCUGAACGGUCCUUGCUUCCGUCUCGGUGCCACGUCGUUUCCUUCGAGAUCCAUGGCCAUCGAGGCAUCGUCGUUUGCAUCAUCGUUGUCGAUUAGGUCAACGUCGUCCCCGUGGUUCAGCUCGAUAUAGCAGUUUCCGGCUGGACCACAAUCUAGCGAACAUGCUGGUUCCGUGGUCACUAUACUCUCCAUCGUGGAUGGUAGCUUCUGUUCCAAAUUCGGACCCUGAA
rnacentral:misc_RNA from 1 species